rnacentral:rRNA from 1 species
GUGAACGCUGGCGGUAGGCCUAACACAUGCAAGUCGAACGGCAGCACAGUAAGAGCUUGCUCUUACGGGUGGCGAGUGGCGGACGGGUGAGGAAUACAUCGGAAUCUACUUUUUCGUGGGGGAUAACGUAGGGAAACUUACGCUAAUACCGCAUACGACCUACGGGUGAAAGCAGGGGAUCUUCGGACCUUGCGCGAUUGAAUGAGCCGAUGUCGGAUUAGCUAGUUGGCGGGGUAAAGGCCCACCAAGGCGACGAUCCGUAGCCGGUCUGAGAGGAUGAUCAGCCACACUGGAACUGAGACACGGUCCAGACUCCUACGGGAGGCAGCAGUGGGGAAUAUUGGACAAAGGGCGCAAGCCUGAUCCAGCCAUACCGCGUGGGUGAAGAAGGCCUUCGGGUUGUAAAGCCCUUUUGUUGGGAAAGAAAAGCAGCAGGUUAAUACCCCGCUGUUCUGACGGUACCCAAAGAAUAAGCACCGGCUAACUUCGUG